rnacentral:rRNA from 1 species
AAUUGGAGGGCAAGUCUGGUGCCAGCAGCCGCGGUAAUUCCAGCUCCAAUAGCGUAUAUUAAAGUUGCUGCAGUUAAAAAGCUCGUAGUUGAAUUUCGGGACCAAUAUGUCGGUCGUGCUUCGGUACGUACUGUCAUAAUUGGUUUCUCCCUUCUGAAGAACCUUGAUGUCAUUAAUUUGGUGUCUUGGGGAAUCAGGACUGUUACUUUGAAAAAAUUAGAGUGUUUAAAGCAGGCUCGCGCUUGAAUACAUUAGCAUGGAAUAAUGAAAUAGGACGUUUGAUUCUAUUUUGUUGGUUUCUAGGAUCGACGUAAUGAUUAAUAGGGAUAGUUGGGGGCAUUAGUAUUCAAUUGUCAGAGGUGAAAUUCUUGGAUUUAUUGAAGACUAACUACUGCGAAAGCAUUUGCCAAGGAUGUUUUCAUUAAUCAAGAACGAAAGUUAGGGGAUCGAAGACGAUCAGAUACCGUCGUAGUCUUAACCAUAAACUAUGCCGACCUAGGGAUCGGAUGAUGUUAAUUUUUUAAUGACUCAUUCGGCGCCUUACGGGAAACCCAAGUGU